rnacentral:rRNA from 1 species
UACGAAGGGGGCUAGCGUUGUUCGGAAUUACUGGGCGUAAAGCGCGCGCAGGCGGUCCUUCAAGUCAGUGGUGAAAGCCCGGAGCUCAACUCCGGAACUGCCAUUGAAACUGUUUAGCUUGAGGAUGAGAGAGGUGAGUGGAAUUCCCAGUGUAGAGGUGAAAUUCGUAGAUAUUGGGAAGAACACCGGUGGCGAAGGCGGCUCACUGGCUCAUUACUGACGCUCAGGCGCGAUAGCGUGGGGAUCAAACAGG